rnacentral:misc_RNA from 1 species
CCCUGAGUCAUGUUAUUAGCCACAUCCAGUAUCCAGAAUCCGAACACGAAAACUCCGAUAGCUCUUGGCCUGGUGUUUCCCCUGUCACCCAACAACCAUCCGAUAUCGGCGGAGUGGCCGAUGAUUAAAACGGCAAAACAAAUUAAACCUGCCCCAGCAAAAAUAAACGGCCUGCGGCGGCCAAACCGGCUGUUGCAGCGAUCACUCAUGUGGCCAACGAGUGGCUGCACCACCAGGCCCGAUAAUGGCCCGCAAAGCCAUAUAAUGCUGGCCCACUUGUGCGGAAUUCCUAGUUCCUGAACGUAAGGUGUCAAGAGAGAGAG